AAAUUGAAGAGUUUGAUCAUGGCUCAGAUUGAACGCUGGCGGCAGGCCUAACACAUGCAAGUCGAACGGUAACAGGAAGCAGCUUGCUGCUUCGCUGACGAGUGGCGGACGGGUGAGUAAUGUCUGGGAAACUGCCUGAUGGAGGGGGAUAACUACUGGAAACGGUGGCUAAUACCGCAUAACGUCGCAAGACCAAAGAGGGGGACCUUCGGGCCUCUUGCCAUCAGAUGUGCCCAGAUGGGAUUAGCUUGUUGGUGAGGUAACGGCUCACCAAGGCGACGAUCCCUAGCUGGUCUGAGAGGAUGACCAGCCACACUGGAACUGAGACACGGUCCAGACUCCUACGGGAGGCAGCAGUGGGGAAUAUUGCACAAUGGGCGCAAGCCUGAUGCAGCCAUGCCGCGUGUAUGAAGAAGGCCUUCGGGUUGUAAAGUACUUUCAGCGGGGAGGAAGGUGUUGCGGUUAAUAACCGCAGCAAUUGACGUUACCCGCAGAAGAAGCACCGGCUAACUCCGUGCCAGCAGCCGCGGUAAUACGGAGGGUGCAAGCGUUAAUCGGAA
rnacentral:rRNA from 1 species